CCCGCGGCGCCGUUUUCCCGAUGAGUGAGAGGGCGCCUGGCGGGUUCUCUCCCAUAGGCCGGGGGCGCCCGGGAGGGCACUCGCCCUCUGGCGCCCUCGGGAUCUCGUGGCCGGGCGCCAGACAGAGGCUUCCGUCACGGAUUUCACUCCAGUUCUCGACAGCCCGCGGGUCUGCGCCCCCCCGUGCCGGGUGAUUUCCGGGACCCCGCCACCUCAUGCUUUCACCCGGCUCCAUGUCGGGGACUGCACCUCGCAAUGGAGAAACUGCAAAAUAAGGAGGAAAUUACCCAAGGAUUAUUAUUUUCCUCUUGUAUCAGUACCUGUACCCAAGCAUAUCACAUGCCCAGAACACACACUGGAAAGAAACCUGUGGACGCUGACACCAUGGGAAAGACUUUCAGCACAGUUCAGUGCUUAUGAGGCUGCAUGAGAGAACUCAUACUGGAAACAACCUAUAGAUGUAAUUAUUGUUGAAGUUCCUUGAGGAGGUGUCCUCACUUUUCACUACAAGAAGACUCCUGCUGGAAGAUGACAUGAGUGGGGUCAGUGUGAGCAGGUUUUUAACAGUGGCUUUCACCUUAUCUGAAACCAGUGUCAGAUUUUAUUGAACAUAAUUAAUAUGGAAAAAUACUAUCAGUAUUUCUUUUAAAAAAUAUGUUUAUGUGUAGAAGAAAUAGGGUGCAGUCCAGAUGUGCGGGGGCGGGGAGGUGAGAGGACUCAUCAGAGACAGAGCCGGGAACAGAACAGGCAGACUGACUGAAACACACUGCUGAGGGGAGCAGCGGGGAGACAGGAGAGAUCUGCUGUGCCCUGUGGAAAUCUCCCUGGCAGGCCAGAAAUUGAACUCGCAUCGCAGAGGCUGCAGACAGCUUCACAGCGCUGCGCUCAACCCACUGUGCCACCACAGAGGCCCUGUUAAUUCCUUUUUGACAUACUUAAGAUUAUAGAAAUUUUGUGUACAUGUGUGCAGUGAUAUGUCUUUUUUAAUUCUAUCUGAUUUACCGCAAUCUCAUUAAUUUUUUAAAUUUACAACUGGGACUUUUUUUAGUUGCCUAUUUCUGUAUUUUCUUUUACAAUAGUUAUAGCACUUAGGUGCUGUAACUUUCAUAUUUUAUUUGUGGUAACAAGAACAUCUAAAGUUUCAAAAUUAAGAUUGCUGAGAGCAGAUAACCUUCUUUUAUUCUGAAUGUGUAUAUCCAUCUAUGGUUUUGACUAGAAGGUAAACAAACAAGGCUCAAGAAGAUGGGGGGGUGAUUCCCCUCAGAGGACAAGUUCAGUUUCCUAUGGCUGAGGGAUGUUGAAAUGGGUUGCAUUCAGAACCGCAGCAACCUGUGGCUGGCUGUGCCUUCCCCGUGCCCCAGUGCUGCAAGGAUGAGACCCUGCCGCGAUGAGGACAGCAAGCAGCAGAGCAGCAGCUAUUUGUGGAUGACCUUCUUGGGCCGCAUGUCCCACACUUGGUGUCACCUCAGGGACUUUUUGUGGAAACUGGUGUUAUUUAUGGUAGUUAAAUUUCUGGUUAUUUACAACCACACACACUUUUGGGACAUAGGAUACAAAGGAAUUAACUGCAUUAUUCCCAGCCUAACUUACUGGUUUGUCCAGCAUUCUGUGACUUUCCUGUUUCCCUCACUGAUUUUCUGGAAGUUGGGGUGAUCAGCUGAGGCUCAGGACAGAUUCUUCGCCUUCCCUCACGUGACCCUAUGAGCCUGGGUGUUCUGGAUGCUGAUCUCAUAGUUGAUACCAGGGAAUGCAAGCAAAGAAUGAUAUGUAGCAGCAAUGGGUAGACCCAGAAACUAGGCUUCUGGGAAGGGGAUGAGUAAUAAUUCAUAGGGAAAAUGCUGAUCAAAUGAAUUGUGCUGCUCCAACCUGCAGUUCCCGGUUCUGAGGUGUUCAUGAACUGUUCUAGCGGCUCACAUUUUAAACACAAAGAUGUGUUUUUCCUUUUUGAUUGAUUUAUACAUACAAGAACUGGGAUACAGGCCAGAGGGCAGGGGUGAGAGGACUCCCCAGAAACAGAGUGGGGAGAACAGGUGGAUCCACUGAAAUCCACUGCUGAGGGGAGCAGCAGGGGAGACAGGAGAGGUCUGCCGCGCCAUGUGGGUAGCUCCCUGGCUGGGGAUUGAACUUGUGCUGCAGUGGCUGCGGACAGCUUCAUAGGCUGCGUCUCAAUCCCUUGCGCCACCAGGGAGGCCCCAUCUAUUUUGAAUGACUUUUUAAAAAUGUGUUUCCCUUCACAUGGAACAAUUUGAGAUGCACUGUGAUAGAGGAUGGUGAAUGGUGAAUGAAAAUAACAUCAUAGGGCCAUGAUUCCAUUGCUCUUGUCACCAGUAGCCAUGGUGAUUUGAUCAAUAUAUAAUUUUAUAUCUUAUUUUUAGUCAUAUAUUGUCUAAAUUAAGCCAACAGCGCUCUGUCGAUUAUUGGAAGCAGAGAAAAAAAUGUUUAUUUCAGCAAUUUAGUAUCUCUAGAAGCAUGUGUCUGUGGAGUAUACCAAGAGAAAGUACAAAUUAAACUUUACAACUGAA